AGAGUUUGAUCCUGGCUCAGGAUGAAUGCUGGCGGCAUGCUUAACACAUGUAAGUCGUACGUGAUUUGGUUUAUUUAAGUGGCGGACGGGUGAGUAAUGCGUAAGAACUUUACUUUUUGGAGAAGAAUAACAAAUGAAAACUAUUGCUAAUACCCCCAAGACUAAGGCAUAAAAGGAGGAAUCCGCCUAUAGAAGGCUUUUGUCUGAUUAGUUGGUUAGUGAGGCAAUAGCUUACCAAGACAAUGAACGAUAGUUGGUCUGAGAAGAUGAUCAGCCACACUGGGACUGACAAAUGGACCAGACUUCUACGGGAGGCAGCAGUAAGAAAUUUUUCGCAAUGGGCGACAGCCUGACAGAGCAAUGUCACGUGGGGGGCCUAAGGCCUUCAGGUCAUAAACCUCUUUCUCAGAGAAUAAUAAAUGAAGGUAUCUGAGGAAUAAGCAUCGGUUAACUCUGUGCCAGCAGCCGCGGUAAGACAGAGGAUGCAAGUGUUAUCUGGAAUUAUUAGGCAUAAAGCAUUUGUAGGUAGUAUUUUAAGUCUAUUGUUAAAUACAAGGGCUUAACCUUAGUUUAAGAGAUUGAAACUAUUAAGCUUGGAGUACGAAUAGUGGCAGAAGAAAUAUCCGGUGUAUAGGUGAAAUGCGUAGAGAUUGGAGAGAACACCAAUGGCGAAAGCACACUGGUGGGACGAAACAUACAUUGUGAGAUGAAAGCUAAGGUAGCAAAUGAGAUUAGAUACCCUAGUAGUCUUAGCCAUAAAUGAUGGAUACCAAGCAUUGUGCGUAUCGACCCGUGCAGUGCUAUAGUUAACUCGUAUCCCGCCUGGGGAGUACGUUUGCAAGAAUAAAACUCAAAGGAAUUGACGGAGGCCCGCACAAGCGGUGGAGCAUGUGGUUUAAUUUGAUGCAAAGCAAAGAACCUUACCAGGGCUUGACAUGCCAUGAAUCCUCUUGAAAGAGAGGAGUGCUCUAGGGAACAUGGACAUAGGUGGUGCAUAGCUGUCGUCAGCUUGUGCCGUAGGUAUUAGGUUAAGUCCUGUAAUGAGCGCAACCCGCAUGUUUAGUUUCCAUUUUAAUUUGGUGGAACUCUAAACAUACUGCCGGCAUUAAGUUGGAGGAAGGUGAGGAUGAUGUUAUGUCAUCAUGCCCCUGAUGCCCUGGGCAACACACGUGCUACAAUCACCGUGACAAAAGUUGCAAUUUGGCAAGGAUGAGCUAACACCAAUACAAAAAUUUGAACUUAGUUCAGAUUGUAGGCUGUAACUCGCUUGUAUGAAGUUGGUAUCACUAGUAAUCGCCGGUCAGCCAUAUGGCGGUGAAUAUGUUCCCGGGCCUUAUAUACCCCGCCCGUCACACUUGGGAGCUAGCCAUACCCGAAAUUCUUAAUUUGACCUCAUCAAAUCAAAGGGAAGAAUAAAGGUAGGGUUAGUGACUGGAGUGAAGUCGUAAUAAGGUAGCCAUAUCGGAAGGUGCGGCUG
rnacentral:rRNA from 1 species